GAAAAACGUAGAAAUCGUCCAUGAAAUCACAAUAUCUCCAGUUGAAAAUUCUUAUAACACAAGUAAUAGAAUGGACUGUCACUUCUGUUAUAUUCUCCUUUAUUUUCUUUUUAAAUACCUAAAACCUAAAGAAGCUUGAAUUUGAACCACCUGAAACACCAAAACUGGACCAUAACAUAUAUUGAAGAAACCGACGAUGCGCAUUAGCCAAGAGAAACCAAAAGUUUGUGCCAACUCACCGCCCAGUAAAGGAGCUACGCGGAUAAAGCACUAGUAGAAAGAAUAUAUUGUGUAUUCCGAAAAGUAUAUACUUACCCAGGCAGUAAGCUAAGCUGACAGAAGUCUGUUGGAUGGCAUAAACAGUACCAUAGCUUGACAUGGAAUUGCCGCUACCAGUGCCGUCUUGCUCCUCCUGCGCUAAAGUGGCAUCAACGAAAGUGGCCAACAGCGGCACUAAGGCAGCGUCAAUUAUACCAAUACCAAGUCCUAACCCAAAGUGUGGCAACAGUAGUUGGCUGACUGUUAUGGCGCUAGGGAUCUGCGAAUACACAACUUUAUAUAUUUUAGUAUUGCAUUUCGCCGAUUCAUAGGUAAUUACUUACCAAGAUCGAUGAAAUGCCCACCAACAGCAGGGCAAUGCAUGAAAUUUUUACUUGUCCAUAUUCAUAAGCGAAUGUGCCGAAGAAAUUGGUACCAAUAAAAUACCCUACGGAAUCCGGUAUGAACACCGUACCUAAUUGCCAUUUGGUGGGGUGAAGAUGUUGUAUCAACCAAAUGGGCAAGCAGGGCUCCAAUAUAGCCAUUGUAGAGGUGGAAAACCAUAUUGCCACAACAAUUGCAAGUAUCAUUUUAGUUUCGAGCAAAGGACGCCAUUUUGGCCGCUGUUCAUCAUUGUCAAUUGUAACCUGAGUUGUGGAGAACACGUGUAAAUUUUAAAAAACUCAAAUGCUAAAUAUUGACAUUCGUUUAUAAAAAAAAAUGUAUUACCUCGGGUUGAAUGGAGAGAUCCAUAGUUAGGAGCUGCAUUCCUAUAUGAAAACAGUGAAAUCAGGGUCUGUUUCGUAUGACCGACUGUCGUGGUGAUUCGAAAUAACUACUGGAUAAUAAUAAUAAUAACCCAACGAUUACCCUCCUCCCGCCCAACCAACGCGAGGGGGCAAUCCGCAUACGUGCGGAGUUAGCCGAGUCAGAAAAUUACAAUACAAUAGAGUUUUUUCAGUGUUGAAAUCUAAAACUGCUCAGCUACAGAAACAAAAACUUCAACAGCCAAGAUUAGUUACGAUAUAAUAAAUUGUUACAUUUUUAUUUAUUAAGAGAAAACAAUAAA